rnacentral:rRNA from 1 species
AGAGUUUGAUCCUGGCUCAGAACGAACGCUGGCGGCAGGCCUAACACAUGCAAGUCGAACGAUGCCUUCGGGCAUAGUGGCGCACGGGUGAGUAACACGUGGGAACAUACCUUUUGGUGGGGGAUAACUUCGGGAAACUGAAGCUAAUACCGCAUACGCCCCUUGGGGGAAAGAUUUAUCGCCGAAAGAUUGGCCCGCGUCCGAUUAGCUAGUUGGUGAGGUAAUGGCUCACCAAGGCUCCGAUCGGUAGCUGGUCUGAGAGGAUGACCAGCCACACUGGGACUGAGACACGGCCCAGACUCCUACGGGAGGCAGCAGUAGGGAAUCUUCCGCAAUGGACGAAAGUCUGACGGAGCAACGCCGCGUGAACGAUGAAGGCCUUCGGGUUGUAAAGUUCUGUCUUCUGGGACGAUAAUGACGUACCAGA